rnacentral:rRNA from 1 species
UACGAAGGUGGCAAGCGUUACUCGGAAUUACUAGGCGUAAAGGGCAGGUAGGUGGUUUGAUAAGUCUGUUGUGAAAGCUCCUGGCUUAACUGGGAGAGGUCAACGGAAACUAUUAGACUUGAGUAUGGGAGAGGGUACUGGAAUUCCCGGUGUAGCGGUGAAAUGCGCAGAGAUCGGGAGGAACACCUAUGGCGAAAGCAGGUACCUGGACCAUUACUGACACUCAGCUGCGAAAGCUAGGGGAGCAAACAGG